UCCCAAGUGGUGCAAUAUUUUGGUGUUGCGCUUCCAAACACCUGUCCAGUGUUAAUUUUACAUACGGGAACUUGAAGGAAUUGAGACAAUGCAGUCCGCAUUUGACAAUCUACCCUGUUUGGAAAAAUGGCGGCUCUUUCGAUGGAAUCGUGCGAUUGAAAAAGAAACAAAAAGAAACUGUGGCGCAAAGAUCAACGCUGGGUCAGUGCUAUUUCACAACCGGGACAUUUCAUUCGUCAUGCUGUUGGCCAUUUGAAACACCGCGCUUGAAGCAUACAGAUAACGUUGUUCUUUUCUCAAAUCAGAGCACGAUAAUGCCACAGCAAACCAUCGACAGAAUGCUGUUUAAAGUGCAGUACCAACAUCACAGAAAGUACAUAAACCUUACUGGAUCGUCUUAUGAUUGUGUAAUCAAGGAUGGUAAGUGUUUCUGAAUGGUGAUAUCUGGCUAAUAAUUGUAAUAUGGUUUGUAUGCAUUUCUUUGUUAAUAACAAAUCUUUUCUUUAAGUCUUUCCCCACUUUGAUGCUCCCAGAUAUUCUCAUUUACAAAUACAAUAUGAUGGAACAAAUAUAAUGUAAAAGCAGAAACACUGCUCUUAAACAAAUAAACUUUUAUUCUAUAUUCAUUAUUUCUUUUUUUCCCCUGUUCACCUAUUUCUGUUCUAUAAUUUACAUGUUGUCUUUCUAGUUAAGCAGAAGUUUGACAUCUGACGAGCAGACGAGACUGGAACAGAAGUAGAUGAUGUUUUUGCUGACAUUAUUGACCAAAAGCCUGACACUUUUGAUGGUAGUUGAUUCUGUAGCAGACUCUCCUGCACACAGAAGCUGUCAUCUUCAUUCAGUUGCAUCAUCGUCAGACACAUAGCAAUCAGACAGCGAUGGUCCUUUCUUCCCACCUAAAAGAGCUCGUUCUGAUGACCAUUUGCAAGAAGCUAAGGAGCUUGUGAAAAGUGUUUUAGAAAAGCCUGCUGGGAUAUUUCAGAACACUGCCACAGCAGUCAAGGAGACUGAGACAGUGAUAUGUCUUCCCUGUUAUUGCUUGUGUAUCCUGCCACCACCUCCUAUUGGAAAUAAGAAGUCUGUCAAGAAUAGUGUGUGUGAAGCUUUGGAUCGUAAGUCCUCUUGCGGUUUUGAAGUCCUUGGAUCAACACAGCCCUACAUCUUGACAGUUGGCACUUCGAAGAGUAACAUCCUUGACUACUACAUUGCUGCGGAAGAGCGGCUCAUCCCCUGCAUGACUAAGUCCUCUCUCUCAACCUUUGUACUUUUCAAUGUAUUUAUAUUUUAUUUUUUCUGAAAACUAUGAAGUGGUAUCAUGAAUGACUUGCUAGAGGUAGUAGCACAGUUAGAGAUGAAGUUGCUUUUUGAUUAUCUGUCGGAGAGCUAAGUUGUGUCCUUACAGUCUUCGAACAACAGAAUUUACUCAUUUAACUAUGGUUAUUUUGAACGUAAAAACUGACCUACCAUGGUUGAUUUUUGGUUUACUGCAGAUAAUAAAUGGUGUUUUCUCCAGUCAUCUCGAAUGGAAUGACUUCAUCUGAAACAUUUGAUCUGUGAACACCACACGCUGUUCAAAGAACUCUGUCUGAGAAUUAUUAUUCCCAAGCUUCACAUCAUGAUCCACCAUCCCCGAAGCAUCAGGAAGAUAGGCCCGCUUUUUCAUGUUAGGGGGAUGCAAUGUGAGGCAAAACAUUGCUAUUUUUUUUUUUUUUACAUUAGCACUUAAACGGUAGUAAUAAGAAAUUGCAUUAAUGACUGAAAUUCAAAUUUAAAUAUAUUUUUUUUAAUGCUGUGUAACAUAUUAUUUUUAUGCAUGCUGUACUAAUUGUGUUUGUAAACACAACAUGAAUUGCAUUUCUUUGUGGUAAUAAAUCU